rnacentral:rRNA from 1 species
GAUGAACGCUGGCGGCGUGCCUAAUACAUGCAAGUCGAGCGAACAGAUGAGGAGCUUGCUCCUCUGACGUUAGCGGCGGACGGGUGAGUAACACGUGGAUAACCUACCUAUAAGACUGGGAUAACUUCGGGAAACCGGAGCUAAUACCGGAUAAUAUAUUGAACCGCAUGGUUCAAUAGUGAAAGACGGUUUUGCUGUCACUUAUAGAUGGAUCCGCGCCGCAUUAGCUAGUUGGUAAGGUAACGGCUUACCAAGGCAACGAUGCGUAGCCGACCUGAGAGAGUGAUCGGCCACACUGGAACUGAGACACGGUCCAGACUCCUACGGGAGGCAGCAGUAGGGACUCUUCCGCAAUGGGCGAAAGCCUGACGGAGCAACGCCGCGUGAGUGAUGAAGGUCUUCGGAUCGUAAAACUCUGUUAUUAGGGAAGAACAAAUUUGUAAGUAACUAUGCACGUCUUGACGGUACCUAAUCAGAAAGCCACGGCUAACUACGUG